AAAUACAACCCUAACCCCCAAAUCCAAUUUGAUUUUUCUCAGAAUGCAACCCUAGCCCCCUUUCUCCUCUCCUCUACCCUUUCUCCUCUCCUUUCCCGUGAAGGAAUCCUCUGGUCUUACCCGCCGCCGGUAGCACCUCCAAGGAUCCCUCUUCACGCCACUAUUCCUACAAUCGCAAACAAAAAUCCCUCGGCCUCUUGUGCACCGAUUUCUUGAAAUUGUAUAAUAAGGACAUCAUCCACUUGAUUGGCCUCGACGAUGUAGCUUUUCGAUUAGGUGUUGAGAGGCGGCAGAUCUAUGAUAUAGUGAACGUCUUAGAGAGUGUCGGGCCUGGUUAAUAAUGGCUUCUACAAGUAGAAGAUCUACAAGUGGUUCCUAUGGCAGCGGCAAUGUAACGGGUGAACGUUUUUGUGAGUGUGGUUUAAGAGUUCCGUUACAAGUCUCAAAUAGCAUUACCAACCCGGGUAGAAAGUAUUAUGCCUGUCUUGUAAGACGAUGUGGAUGGUUUAGAUGGGCAGGUCCAAGUAUCCAACAUGCUGAAGUUGCAGAUGAUCGCUCUUGUCAUUUGAAUUCCAAUUUGAAGUCAAUCGACCGAGUUGAAAAUCUGCAUAAUGAUGUUGUAUUUCUGAAAAUUUUAGCGGUCUUUCAGCUUUUGUAUUUGUAGUCUGUAUUGUCCUGGUCAUAGUAUUGUUGUUUAAGUUAUA